GAUACAGCUAAGCAAAGAAUACAUGUGCCACAGCUCUCUGACCCCAGACGUCCAGCAUCCUAUGCAUCAUACACGCUAGCUCUGUGUCAUGUGGAUUCCCACACGAUUCAAAGAAACAUAAGAUGUGGGUUUACUGGGAAAUGACUGUGAAUGGCUGUGGGAAAGGGAAGAAAAAAAGAGCUUGUGCCAGUCUGUGUGUGACAGCCUGUCUGUGAGAGUAAAGAGCCAGGGCCCAGAAUCUAAAUCACAUAAAGAUGUUUCCAUCCUGUGUUCAACCCCAGAGACGCUGCGGACCGCACUGCCAUUGUUAACCACUUCCAGACUGUUUAAGCUCUUGCAAGAAAUUGCCAGGCCCCCGCAGGCGUUGCGAAGGUUGAAAUGCACACGGCAUUCACCAGGUGCUCGGUUGGCUGCAGUGAGUCUCACAAGCACCAAAACUUGCAAAGGGAAAGUUAAUAUACUGUGGAAUAAACAGGAGAGAAACUCAGUACUCGGGAGGAAAAAUAAAAAAAAAA
rnacentral:lncRNA from 1 species